rnacentral:lncRNA from 1 species
CUAUCACCUUUAAGAAAGAAGGAAAAGUGUUGGCGGUGGCGCCUGCCAGAACAGCCAAACCCUGGGACAGGACUCGAAGAUACUGAAAUCUGCCUGGCUCCAAAUUCUUUUAAGCCAGAGGAUGAGUAACCAGUGGGCAUGAGAGGUUGAAUAUUCUGCUUUGCUGCAAACCUGGGUAGAGAUCUCUUCCCUUUCUGUAGGUUGGAGCCAAGGAUCAUAAUGAGUACAAUACCCUCAGAGAAAGCAUCGUGGUGGAACUGUAAGUUCUAGACAAGCCCAGAAGCGAACUCGGGAGGCAGCCUCCACCCCUGAGAUUUCCUUGGAAGCAGAACCCAUAGAACUCGUGGAAACUGCUGGAGAUGAAAUCGUGGACCUCACUUGAGAAUCUUUAGAGCCUGUGGUGGUGGACCUGACUCACAAUGACUCUAUUGAAAUUGUUGACGAAAGGAGGAGGCCAAGGAGGAACGCAAGGAGGCUACGCCAAGACCAUGCCAACAGCUGCGUGGUGAGCAGUGAUGACAAGGAGUUGUCCAGAGACAGAGAUGUGUAUGGGACCACCCACACUCCCAGAAACGCCAGGGACGAGGGGGCCACAGGACUCAGGCCCUCUGGUACCGUCGGUUGUCCCAUCUGCAUGGACAGAUACUCAGAGAUGGUGCAGAAUGGACGUGUCAUUGUCUCUACAGAGUGUGGCCACGUCUUCUGUCGCCAGUGCCUCCGUGAUUCCCUAAAGAAUGCUAAUACUUGCCCAACUUGUAGGAAAAAGAUCAACCACAAACGGUGCCACCCCAUUUAUAUAUGAAGUUUCAGAGCUGCUCAGGAGAGACGGAUGGACAGACAGCCUGGCUGGGCUCUUCACAUGGUAUCUGCCUUCAAUUUCCUGAGCUCAAAAAGACUGUUUAAAACCAACAUCUGAUAUGUAAACUUCUCUUUUAUUUCUAACCCACCCUCCUUAGAUCCUUUUGUAAUCUCAUCUGAUGCUCUGGAGCUGGACCAGGGGCCCUCCCCAUCUGGCUCCUUAUCUUUGCUCCUCUGAGGUAGUUUCAUCCCAGAGUAGGAGAAAGAGUCAGGACACUGGAGUUGAAAAUUGUGGUUCCAGCUUUUCUGGGCCUACGUUUGCCAAGAACUUUCCCUGUUUGGAAAGCUUGCCCUAUCUCUCCCAGGCACACAACCUUCCUGGGCACCUGUCAGUUGACCAUUCUGUCUACCACACAGUAACCAAGCCAGACACAGUCCACUCAGCCCAAGGG